UACGAUCACAAUCAGAGCCGUCAACCGUGGUCGUCGCAUGUCGUCCUCUUCAGCGCCGCCAGCGCCAGGGGCCGGCCGCAUCUUGACGCUAUGGGUAAAGAUGCAGGCGAUGGUCCAGCUGACGGAGAUCGUUUGAGAAAGAUAUCAGGGGAAAGAUCUACAUCUGCAAGAACAAGUGCAAAUGCUGUCCAAAGUAUGUUAGUAUCACCCCUGUUGCAAGUCAAAAUGAAGAGCCACUGAAUUUGGGCAGUGACAAUAAAGUUGCAAAUGAAGUGAUUGAUCUAGAGGGUGAGAAUCUGGAUGCAAUAGUAGAUGAACCUGCAGGGAAGAAACAGAAGAAGACCAAAUCUCAAUGUUGGGACCAUUUUGAUAGAACAUUCAAGGCGGUGGUGAUAAAUGGACAAAAAAUUAAGGAAGCAUGGGCCAAAUGCAAGUACUGCACAUAUAAAGCAAAGAGAAAUAGCAAGAAUGGGACAUCAGUCUUCUUGAACCAUAUUAAUAUGCAUAGAGAAAUAGCAAGAUGUUGCAAGUGGACUGGAAGAAACACCAUGUUGAAGAGAAGUCAAGGAUGUGUUACGGGCUUCUACUUGAUAGAUUACUUGCCUUUUAUAAUAAAUAAAAACUUCAAUAGAAUUUUGAAUUAAGUAUUUCUUAAGUAAGACAUUUGUCUUGGACGUGUGUAAUGCUAUCAUCAUAUUACCAUAACUGUUUAUUGUUGUCAUAUUCGUGUGGUAUGAGUGUUAUGACUUUAAAAGCUUGGCCACUCUCUAGUGUAAUGUGGUGAGUUAAAAAUGUGUUUUUAUAUAGUUUGCAUAUAGUAGAUACAAGUUCAUGUGUCUUUGCAUGUAUCCCCCGAUAUUUUUUGCCCGUUUCCGGUCCGAGUCCGCUCCGAAUCCGUAGUCCGAUAUAAUCCGCAUUCGAAUCCGCAUCCGGUCAAUAUCCGCUCCGCUCCGAAUCCGACAAAAAAAUAUGGUAGAGGAUACGGUAAA